CNGNUUUAUUGGGCGUAAGCGAGCGCAGGCGGUUUUUUAAGUCUGAUGUGAAAGCCUUCGGCUCAACCGAAGAAGUGCAUCGGAAACUGGGAAACUUGAGUGCAGAAGAGGACAGUGGAACUCCAUGUGUAGCGGUGAAAUGCGUAGAUAUAUGGAAGAACACCAGUGGCGAAGGCGGCUGUCUGGUCUGUAACUGACGCUGAGGCUCGAAAGUAUGGGUAGCAAACAGGAUUAGAUACCCUGGUAGUCCAUACCGUAAACGAUGAAUGCUAAGUGUUGGAGGGUUUCCGCCCUUCAGUGCUGCAGCUAACGCAUUAAGCAUUCCGCCUGGGGAGUACGGCCGCAAGGCUGAAACUCAAAGGAAUUGACGGGGGCCCGCACAAGCGGUGGAGCAUGUGGUUUAAUUCGAAGCUACGCGAAGAACCUUACCAGGUCUUGACAUACUAUGCAAAUCUAAGAGAUUAGACGUUCCCUUCGGGGACAUGGAUACAGGUGGUGCAUGGUUGUCGUCAGCUCGUGUCGUGAGAUGUUGGGUUAAGUCCCGCAACGAGCGCAACCCUUAUUAUCAGUUGCCAGCAUUAAGUUGGGCACUCUGGUGAGACUGCCGGUGACAAACCGGAGGAAGGUGGGGAUGACGUCAAAUCAUCAUGCCCCUUAUGACCUGGGCUACACACGUGCUACAAUGGAUGGUACAACGAGUUGCGAACUCGCGAGAGUAAGCUAAUCUCUUAAAGCCAUUCUCAGUUCGGAUUGUAGGCUGCAACUCGCCUACAUGAAGUCGGAAUCGCUAGUAAUCGCGGAUCAGCAUGCCGCGGUGAAUACGUUCCCGGGCCUUGUACACACCGCCCGUCACACCAUGAGAGUUUGUAACACCCAAAGUCGGUGGGGUAACCUUUUAGGAACCAGCCGCCUAANGUGGGACAGAUGAUUAGGGUGAAGUCNA
rnacentral:rRNA from 2 species